CAAACAUGGUCAUGUGUUUGCAACAUCUGCAAUGAGCUAAUGGAGCAACUCAUAAGGGAAUGGAAUUUGGCAUUUGUCCAGAGGACCCAGAUCUACACAAAUCUUGUCCUGUUAAUUCUGCCUGCAGUGAGAGAAGUGGCUCUAAGAAAUAAAGUAAUUAUGGCAGAUCAGAGGUAGAGGAGAACUCAAGAAACCAUCCAGGAUGAUCCUGUCAUUUGAGUGAUGAAGAAACUGAGGUCCAGGCAACAGAAGGAACUUGGCAAAAAUGACAUUGGCAAUCAGUUCUCUGGACUUCCAGAGCCUUUCUGUGAGAGAAUGGCACCUACUUCCAGAGAAAUGUCAGCAAAAUAGGCAAUUAAUAUGAGUUGUCAGCACAUCUCAGAGGCAGAAGAUUAGGGUGAGUUCUUCAAGCAUUAUUAGAAUUCCAUCUUUAACACUUCUCAUGAUGGAGGGCAAAUUUGUUCCUCAAAAUGGAGAGUAAUAGGAUGAAUUUAGAAAACAUUCUUGCACCAGCCCACACCCAUAUACACACAGAGUUAUCAUUUCCUAGUAUUUGCAUGUAUUUAAUACGUAGUUUAUUAUUACCUUUUAAUUACAAUGUCUCAUACAAGACAUAAAUGGCAGCAAUCAGACUUUAGGUCUUCACAAAGCUCAAAAUGCAAUACAUGGAAUAUAACAGAUGUGUAAAUGGUUUUGAAGAGGAGAAAGCACCAAAAUGGCCUUAAUUUUUACUCAGCUUGACUAAACAUCAGAUAGCUUCUUCAGGUAUCCAUGCCCCGACCUCCCUCUCACUUGUAAUGCCCGAAGUUCCAAAGUCUCCCACAAAAGACCACCAGAGUUGUAAGUCAAAGCCAAGUGGCAAGGGUCGUUUAUUGCAGGUUCGAACCCGGACCUCUGAGCACCCGUCGCCGGUGAUGCUAAGAGGCCCUGAGUGAGGUUUUUACAGCCUUUUUAUAGACAGAUACAAACAAGUUGUGGGGAAGUUAGGAAUUUUUCGCGGUUACAGAGCGGUUAUUGGUUGAUGUCUUAAUUUAAACACUUAGCAGAAUUUAAUUGGUUCCCGCCUUUAGGUCAAACUUCAACUGGGGUAUGGGUAUCAUAAUGAUCAGUCAAGAACAUGCGGUUAUGCCAGGCAGUUGUACAGAAGCAGAACAAGCUGGUCAAGUAAGAUAAGUUUGUUUUUCUCAGACCACGAUGACUAGGCAAACAGUUUGCCCAGGUCUUUCGUUUGUUUUUUUUGUUUUUUUUCCAAGUACCUGAGGAACCAAGGGGAAGGGAAAAUAUGUUAAGCAAGCAGGUUUAUAGAAGCGAGAAAUGCCGGUUUAUGUACAAUCACUUAUUCUAUUAUAUACCAGACUACAUUUAGGAAGUUUCACAACUUACUCUAUUACAUAGCGGGUUACAUUCAGGAAAGGUUUUACAAUGCUCGUAGCAAACAGCAAGCAAAACAGACUUUUCAGCAAUUGUAUUUUUCUUUAUCAAUGAUCCAUAAUAAACAAAAAAGAGGACUUUAAACUAAGUCAUGGCUGUCAUUUGGAUUUAAAGUUGUUCUUUUCACACUGUGGCCUUUAUAGUAUCCAGAGGGCCUACUCACAAAGAUCUUUCCCACAUUUUCUUAUUUACUUUAGUAAAUCUAUAAUUGUAAAUUCUUUUUCUACUCCUAUGAGAAGUAACUUGUUUUUAAAGUCUCUCACCAGUUUUAGAACCCAUGACCACCCAAGGACUUGGGAGCCAUCUCUUUGAAAUAAACUCAUCAAAGAAGAGAAUAUCUCUGUCAAUCUCUGUAGGAGGAUGGAAGCCUAACUUCUCUGCUCCAUUUUGUAAAAUCCCUCUUGUCAUAAAGUUGGCUUACCCCAUCCAGACUCAUCCUCCUGCUUUGUCACCCAAAUGACUGACUUCCACAGAUUUCAUUCUUUGUCCUAAAUUCUGGUUGGGUUUGACCAGUGAAAGAAGAAUUCAGAGAGGUUUUGAAGUAUGGGAUUCAUCACCAUUCCACCUGACUCUCAACUAUCCACCAGGCACAUGAAGCUACCACUGGAUUCAAUUGUAUUUCUUGGACUCUCUUCUUUGUGUAGGGCAAAUGACAGUCCUAUCCAGCACUGGGAGUACUCUGUGGAACCAAACAGACAAAUAAGCAAGAAGCAUGGUUCCUGCUCUCACUAAACUUAUAGACUAAUACAGGGGAGACAACACCUGUCAAAGAAUGGACCGUCACAACUGUAAUAAACAUUACCAAGAAUAUUA